AACGCUGGCGGUAGGCUUAACACAUGCAAGUCGUGCGAGAAAGUAUCUUCGGAUAUGAGUAGAGCGGCGAACGGGUGAGUAACGCGUAGGAAUGUACCUAGUAGAAGGGGAUAGCCCGAGGAAACUCGGAUUAAUACCGUAUACCUCCUUCGGGAGAAAGAAGGCCUCUCUUUGAAGCUUUCGCUACUAGAUCAGCCUGCGUAAGAUUAGCUUGUUGGUGAGGUAAUGGCUCACCAAGGCUACGAUCUUUAGCUGGUCUGAGAGGACGAUCAGCCACAUUGGGACUGAGACACGGCCCAGACUCCUACGGGAGGCAGCAGUGGGGAAUAUUGGACAAUGGGCGCAAGCCUGAUCCAGCCAUACCGCGUGUGUGAAGAAGGCCUUCGGGUUGUAAAGCACUUUAAGCAGGGAGAAAAAAAUAUAGGUUAAUACCCUAUGUUCUUGAUGUUACCUGCAGAAUAAGCAC
rnacentral:rRNA from 1 species